UCACAAAUGCAUUCAGGAAAUGGGCGGCUAGAAUUAGAAGCACAAAUCCAAAAAAAAUGUUGGAACAAGUUAAAAUUCAUAUUACAUCCAAUUUGUCUUUGGUUUUAAAAACCAAAAACAAUAGAGCAGAAACCUUUUCAUCCAAACUUUAGCCAACAAAUCUAUUCUUGGUUUGAAACCAAGAACGUUGAUCAGAAAAUAUUUCAUCCAAAAUUUCAAUUUCAAUCCAAGUCAAAAACGCUAGAAGCAGAAGACAAUCCUGUUUCAAUUUCAAAUCCAGUGUAAAUUUCGCAGAAGCAAAUUCGUUCAAAUAAUUCAAGAAAUAGGUAUGUUAAGGCUAAGCUAUUCCUUCAUUUUGCAUGAUCUCAUAAUUACAAAAAUUUGAUAACGAGUCAUAAAGAAAAAUUCAUAUCCCGAAAUUUACGUAUAUUUUGCUAGUCUCGCAAGUUACAUAUAUUUUCCUAGUUUUGUAAGUUACGAUAUUCUCCUUGUCAGGACUUCAUAUUCAAUUGAGUAUUUCCUUCUUCUAGUCAAGAGAGCAGAGAAUUUAUAUAUACAGUAUUAGAGUAUUUUCAUUACCAUCGAGCUAUAAUCGAUGGGCAUGCCCCUAUUGGGCAACCUCUGAUCAGUUGGUAAGAUAUAUACCGAGCCUACUGUGGUCGGGCGCCUAUGAGCGAGCCCAGUUGGUCGAGAUACAGAGUCUAGUAUGGUCGAGCGCGUAUAAGUGAGCCUACUACAGCAGAGCAGUUAUAUAUAUACUGAGCCUUAUAGGGUCGGACAACUAUUUUACUCACUAUAUUGAGAGAAUUGAGUCAGUAUCAGCAGAUGAGUAUAUCUUCAGAUUUUCUUGGACUCCCAGUUGUUUUCAGUUAUUAUAUUAUCAGUUCAGUUUCAGCUUCAGUAUAUUGCCUUACAUACUUGUUACAUUAUUUCGUACUGACGUCCCUUUCUGGGGGCGCUGCAUUUCAUGCGUGCAGGUUCAAACAGACAGACGGGUAGACCUACUCAAUAGGUGCUGCCCGAGUUCAACUUUAUCAGUAAGCUCCCCUUCUUUCGGAGUUGCCGAGUCUAGUAGUGUGGUGUAUAUCUUGUGUAUAUAUGUAGAUAGGUUAUGGGUAGGUCGGGACCCUGUUCCGAUCAUAAUACAUCUAUCAGUAGAGGCUUGUAUAUAUAUCUUGUUGGUUAGUGCAGUAUGUUGGGCUCGUAGGCCCUGUACGUAUAUUUUGUUGGCUUGUCAGUUGUAGUAAUUAUGACGGCCUUGCCGACCUAGCUUUAUGUUGACAUUAGUCGGCGUUAGUCUCCAUUUAGUUUUAUAUUUUGUAUCGCACAUUAUCUUGUAAUGUGGCCCAUAGCCAAAGUAUGACAUUACAUGUUCAGAGUCUCUUAGUCGCAAGUGGUACACAAGGAU
rnacentral:lncRNA from 1 species